rnacentral:lncRNA from 1 species
GAGAUUUUUAAGGCUUAAAAGCGCAGAUUCGAGUUCUAAAAUAUAAGAUGACCUUUUGGGUGACCCUAAAAGUUCGAUUCACAAGAACAAAUUAAUUUAUUCUACAAUUAUAAAAUAAUUAUAUCUUUUUUAGUUAAUUCAAGAUAAUUAUUUCCUAACUACACAAAUUUAUAUCCUAAAAGUUCAAUUCAUAUCCAAAAGGUCAAAUUCAUAUCCUAAAAGUUCAAUUCAUAUCCUAAAAGUUCAAUUCACAAGAACAAAUCCUAAAAACUAAAAUUUCAAUUCAUAUCCUACGAGUUUAAACAUAAACUAACUAAACUGAGAAAUUCAACCCAUACCCUAAAAGUUCGAUUCACAAGAAUAAAUUAAUUUAUUCUAUAAUUAUAAAUUAAUUAUAUCUUUUUUAGUUAAUUCAAGAUAAUUAUUUUUUCUAAUUAAACCAAUUUAUAUCCUAAAAAGUUUAAUUCAUAUCCAAAAGGUCCAAUUCAUAUCUUAAAAGUUCAAUUCAUAUCCUAAAAGUUCAAUUCACAAGAACAAAUCCUAAAAACUAAAAUUUCAAUUCAUAUCAUAUGAGUUUAAACAUAAACUAACUAAACUAAAGAAAUUUAACCCAUACCCUAAAAGUUUGAUUCACAAUAACAAAUCGUAAACCCUAGAUUCUAACUAAACUAUUCAAGACAAUACAAAGUUAAUAAUUCAAUUCUAACUAAACUAUUCAAGACAAUACAAACUCAAAAUUGAAACACUCAUCAAUUAAAACUAAUUCAUAACUAAUUGACUAAUUAACAAAACUAAUUAGUUAAUAAAAUUAAUUAAAAAACUAAUUAAAACAAGACCUAAACCCUAAUCCUCAAUACAAUGCAAUGUUCAAAUAAUUGAAAUACUAAUCAAUUGAAACUAAUUCAUAACUAAUUAACAAAACCUAGAAAUAAUAAAUAAAUGGGUUGUAAUUCAAACCUAGAAUUUUUAGGAGAUGAAGAAGGA